rnacentral:rRNA from 1 species
UACAGGGGGGGCAAGCGUUGUUCGGAAUUACUGGGCGUAAAGGGCUUGUAGGUGGCCAACUAAGUCAGACGUGAAAUCCCUCAGCUUAACUGGGGACUGCAUUUGAUACUGGGUUGCUUGAAUUCGGGAGAGGAUAGCGGAAUUCCCAGUGUAGAGGUGAAAUUCGUAGAUAUUGGGAAGAACACCGGUGGCGAAGGCGGCUAUCUGGACCGACAUUGACGCUGAGGCGCGAAAGCGUGGGGAGCAAACAGG